rnacentral:rRNA from 1 species
CAGGNCAAACUGCUGAGUNACACGUAGGCUNACUUACCCCUUAAGUUAGGGGAUAACUUUGGGNAAACUGAAGAUAAUACUUAAUAGAAAAUAAUGCCUGGAAAGGUUUUAUUUUUCUAAAGCUUCGGCGCUUAAGGAUAGGGCUGCGGUGGAUUAGGCUGAUGUUAGGGUAAAAACCUAACAUACCUAUAAUCCAUAGGGGCUGUGAAAGCGGUAGCCCCCAGAUGGGUUCUGAGACACUAACCCAGGUCCUACGGGACGCAGCAGUCGCGAAACCUUCGCAAUGCACGCAAGUGUGACGAGGGAACUCUAAGUGCUAGCGUUUUUGCGUUAGCUUUUCUAAAGUUUAAAAUGCUUUAGGAAUAAGUGAUGGGUAAGACCGUUGCCAGCCGCCGCGGUAAUAACGGCGUCACUAGUGGUAAUCACGAGUAUUGGGUCUAAAGCAUUCGUAGCCGACUUGUUAAGUCUCCUGUGAAAUCUCAUAGAAAACUAUGAGGCGUGCAAGAGAUACUGACAGGUUUGGGACCGGGAAGAGUUAGAGGUACUUUUAGGGUAGGGGUUAAAUCCUGUAAUCCUAAAGGGACCACCUGUGGCGAAGGCGUCUAACUGGAACGGGUCCGACGGUGAGGAAUGAAAGCUAGGGGAGCAAAGCGGAUUAGAUACCCGCGUAGUCCUAGCUGUAAACGAUGCCCGUUAGGUAUUGGAAAUCUCUCGUGGAUUUCCAGUGCCGUAGGGAAGCCAUUAAACGGGCCACCUGGGAAGUACAGUCGCAAGGCUGAAACUUAA